GGAUGUGAGGGAGAUCUGGUUGCAACAUCUAUCACCCCAUUUAUCACCAGGGUUGAUCUGGCUGAUGUGUCUGGUUAGAUGGGUGUCCCCAUCUUCCUUCACUGCUCCAUGUGCUUCCUUAAAGAAGUUGCAUGCUCAGUCAAAGAGGAUGAACAUCCCAGAUAGAGGAGGACCAUUUUUUGGUCAAGGGUACGCAAGUAGCUGCGCUUUCAGGCUAGAACUUUCAAAUAAGCUAUCAAAAUCCCCUUCGUGUAGUUGAAAUAGUGUAUAAAUACCACAUUUUCUUAAUCCAUUCAUCAGUAGUGGAGCAUCUUG
rnacentral:snRNA from 1 species